CUGAAAUCCGACGUGUCAGGCAUCGGCAAAACUCAAAACGACGUCGUUUCAUAUGGAUAAAACGACGUCGUUUUGUCCAUUGAAACGAAAUUUAGAAUCAAAUCGCGAAUCCUCCUACGAAACUGCUGCAAUCCCGAUUGUCCGUGAAAUCCCAUAACAAGGAUGUCCACUUCUUCCCAGCAUUCGAGCAGAACAUGGCCGAGGUUUGAGGCAGUGGUCUGUGAUCACGGCCUUGAAGCUGAUGUGGUGACAUCCAAUACGGAUGCCAAUCCCGGACGACGCUUCUAUCGUUGCCAAGUCUGGAAGGAGGACGAUUGCAAAUUCUUUCGUUGGAUUGAUCCAUCAUUGUCACCAAAUCAAGAGUACUUCUUCAAAAAAUUGAAGCUUGAUAGGGACAAUGUGCAAAAAGCAUUGAGAGAUAAAGUUGCUAAGCAGGAUGCACUUGACGAGAGCCUCCGUUCCAAAACCGCUGAAGUUGAAGCACUCCAAGGCGUUGUCGCAGAUUUGCAUCGUCAAAACCGGAACCUAAAGAUUGUCAUUUUCAUUUUAUGUAUCGUCAUUUGGGCUAUUGUCGUAGCUUAACUAAUAGAACUCCAAUGUAAUAGUAUAUGCAAGUUGAACUCAAGUGUAAUACACUACGGAACCAGGAAUAUUGUAGUGGUUUUUCCCCUA